UACAGAGGGUGCGAGCGUUAAUCGGAAUUACUGGGCGUAAAGCGCGCGUAGGCGGCUUUGCAAGUCGGGUGUGAAAUCCCCAGGCUUAACCUGGGAACUGCAUUCGAGACUGCAUUGCUAGAGUAUGGGAGAGGGAAGUGGAAUUUCCGGUGUAGCGGUGAAAUGCUUAGAUAUCGUCAAGAACACCGAUAGCGAAGGCAGCUUACUGGGCUGUAACUGACGCUGAGGCACGAAAGUGUGGGGAUCAAACAGG
rnacentral:rRNA from 1 species